rnacentral:rRNA from 1 species
UACGUAGGGCGCAAGCGUUGUCCGGCAUUAUUGGGCGUAAAGAGCUCGUAGGCGGUUUGUCGCGUCUGCUGUGAAAACCUAAGGCUCAACCUUGGGCUUGCAGUGGGUACGGGCAGACUAGAGUGCGGUAGGGGUGACUGGAAUUCCUGGUGUAGCGGUGGAAUGCGCAGAUAUCAGGAGGAACACCGAUGGCGAAGGCAGGUCACUGGGCCGCAACUGACGCUGAGGAGCGAAAGCAUGGGGAGCGAACAGG